GACGAACGCUGGCGGCGUGCUUAACACAUGCAAGUCGAACGAAGAGCGACGGAAGCUUGCUUCUAUCAAUCUUAGUGGCGAACGGGUGAGUAACGCGUAAUCAACCUGCCCUUCAGAGGGGGACAACAGUUGGAAACGACUGCUAAUACCGCAUACGAUCUAACCUCGGCAUCGAGGAUAGAUGAAAGGUGGCCUCUACAUGUAAGCUAUCACUGAAGGAGGGGAUUGCGUCUGAUUAGCUAGUUGGAGGGGUAACGGCCCACCAAGGCGAUGAUCAGUAGCCGGCCUGAGAGGAUGAACGGCCACAUUGGGACUGAGACACGGCCCAGACUCCUACGGGAGGCAGCAGUGGGGAAUCUUCCGCAAUGGACGAAAGUCUGACGGAGCAACGCCGCGUGAGUGAUGACGGCCUUCGGGUUGUAAAGCUCUGUUAAUCGGGACGAAAGGCCUUCUUGCGAAUAGUGAGAAGGAUUGACGGUACCGGAAUAGAAAGCCACGGCUAACUACGUG
rnacentral:rRNA from 1 species